rnacentral:rRNA from 1 species
GGUAUAGUUCUUCGGAAUUAGAGACCGGCGCACGGGUGCGUAACGCGUAUGCAAUCUACCUUUUACAGAGGGAUAGCCCAGAGAAAUUUGGAUUAAUACCUCAUAGUAUUAUGAAAUGGCAUCAUUUUAUAAUUAAAGUCACAACGGUAAAAGAUGAGCAUGCGUCCCAUUAGCUAGUUGGUAAGGUAACGGCUUACCAAGGCUACGAUGGGUAGGGGUCCUGAGAGGGAGAUCCCCCACACUGGUACUGAGACACGGACCAGACUCCUACGGGAGGCAGCAGUGAGGAAUAUUGGACAAUGGGCGCAAGCCUGAUCCAGCCAUGCCGCGUGCAGGAUGACGGUCCUAUGGAUUGUAAACUGCUUUUAUACAGGAAGAAACCCUGGUUCGUGAACCAGCUUGACGGUACUGUAAGAAUAAGGAUCGGCUAACUCCGUGCCAGCAGCCGCGGUAAUACGGAGGAUCCAAGCGUUAUCCGGAAUCAUUGGGUUUAAAGGGUCCGUAGGCGGGUUAGUAAGUCAGUGGUGAAAGCCCAUCGCUCAACGGUGGAACGGCCAUUGAUACUGCUAAACUUGNAAUUAUUAGGAAGUAACUAGAAUAUGUAGUGUAGCGGUGAAAUGCUUAGAGAUUACAUGGAAUACCAAUUGCGAAGGCAGGUUACUACUAAUUGAUUGACGCUGAUGGACGAAAGCGUGGGUAGCGAACAGGAUUAGAUACCCUGGUAGUCCACGCCGUAAACGAUGGAUACUAGCUGUUGGGGGCAACUUCAGUGGCUAAGCGAAAGUGAUAAGUAUCCCACCUGGGGAGUACGUUCGCAAGAAUGAAACUCAAAGGAAUUGACGGGGGCCCGCACAAGCGGUGGAGCAUGUGGUUUAAUUCGAUGAUACGCGAGGAACCUUACCAAGGCUUAAAUGUAGUUUGACCGAUUUGGAAACAGAUUUUUCGCAAGACAAAUUACAAGGUGCUGCAUGGUUGUCGUCAGCUCGUGCCGUGAGGUGUCAGGUUAAGUCCUAUAACGAGCGCAACCCCUGUUGUUAGUUGCCAGCGAGUCAUGUCGGGAACUCUAACAAGACUGCCAGUGCAAACUGUGAGGAAGGUGGGGAUGACGUCAAAUCAUCACGGCCCUUACGCCUUGGGC